rnacentral:lncRNA from 1 species
GGUAUGUGAGGUGCUUUUGGAAAGCCCCGGGGCACCGUGGCUGGGGUUCACAUUGGCCAAUUAUCAUGUCCAUCCGCCUUGAACCCAGAGAACAAGGAGCAUGUGAUUAAGGCCCUGCUCAGGGCCAAGUUCAAGUUUCCUGGCUGCCAGAAGAUCCACAUCUCACAGAAGUGGGUCUUCACCAAGUUCAGUGAAGAUGAAUUUGAAGACACGGUGGCUGAGAAGUGGCUCAUCUGAGAUGGGUGUGGGGUCAAGUACAUCCUCAUUGUGGCCCUCUGGACAAGUAGUGGGCCCUGCACUCGUGAGGGCUUCUGCUGUGCUGCCCCUUCUUAAUACUCACCACUAAAUCCUACUUCCCAUCCACCCUGUAAUCCCAGCUACUUGGGAGGCUGAGGUGGGAGGAUCACCUGAAGCCAGGAGUUCGAGGCCAGCCUGGGCCUCUCUAAAA